GACGAACGCUGGCGGCGUGCUUAACACAUGCAAGUCGAGCGGAAAGGCCCUUCGGGGUACUCGAGCGGCGAACGGGUGAGUAACACGUGAGUAAUCUGCCCUUGGCUUUGGGAUAACUACCGGAAACGGUGGCUAAUACCGGAUACGACAACCGUCUGCAUGGGCUGGUUGUGGAAAGUUUUUUCGGCCAGGGAUGUGCUCGCGGCCUAUCAGCUUGUUGGUGGGGUAAUGGCCUACCAAGGCUUCGACGGGUAGCCGGCCUGGGAGGGUGACCGGCCACACUGGGACUGAGACACGGCCCAGACUCCUACGGGAGGCAGCAGUGGGGAAUAUUGGACAAUGGGCGGAAGCCUGAUCCAGCAACGCCGCGUGAGGGAUGACGGCCUUCGGGUUGUAAACCUCUUUCAGUACCGACGAAGCGCCGAUGAUGGUGGUGACGGUAGGUACAGAAGAAGCACCGGCCAACUACGUG
rnacentral:rRNA from 1 species